CACAAAGCUCAGCGAGAGGUUCCAACAGGAACCCGUCGUUCAAGGAGAAAACCCAAAGCAACCAAGCAUGCCGAAGGAGCCCCCAAGGGAUCCCGGAACCCAGGCAAGUCGCGGGAAAAGGGGCCGUUAGGAGGUCGCCGUGGCCGGGGCGGGGCGGGGGGUGGCGGCCUGGGCUUCUCCAGGACUCGGACAGCGACUUCCAAGCCCACUCCCCACACAGGCCCCGCGCCGGUCCCAGGUGCCACCAAUCCCCGAGUGGCCACGCGACCAAGCCUCAGCUGCGGGCAGCUAGCCCGCACCUCCACGUCGAUGUCCAGGAAGCCGCCCUCCGCCACCUCGAAGAUGAGGCCCAUCUUGGUGCCCGAGGUGACCCGCUCAAAGAAGCACUCUUCAGCAUGGGCGUCGAUGCUAACGAAAUAGCCCGAGACCGUGGCCAGGAGAGCGGCCAGAAGCACCAGCAGUUCAGCAAGCGUCACCAUGGUGGGGCUGAGGCCGAAGCCAGGACCCGGACUGCGGCCUCCACAGCCGCCGCCGCCGCCGCCGCCGCCGCCCCGCUGCCUUCUCAGCCACCGCCGCCUAAGCUCCGCCCCUUCCGCCUGCGCCACCAGUGGGGGCUGAUGCGGGCGCAGUGGAUUGGCGGGCUCCCGCAGCUGCCACGUAAAGGGAGGCACGGCAGCCGCCGAGGGACAAGCGACUCUGCGCGGCCCGAGCCUGGACGGCGGCUCCGAAGGACCAAAAAUUUUUCCCUAGUCCUUUCUCGUCCAAGCUAAAGUUCCUGUGGACUUCCCAGGAAAACGACAGUGUCCGGAAGCCUCUGCAAUGCCCUCUUAGGAUUGUCCAAGAAGAUGGCGAAACAUUUGCAGGCAGCGAUAGGAGUUGAGGGAAUGUGCGGGCUGAAACUAAGUAGAGACGGGGUUUCGCCAUGUUGGCCAGUCUGGUCUGGAACUCCUGACCUCAAGUGAUCCGCCCUCCUCGGCCUCCCAAAGUGCUGAGAUUACAGAAGCUGGAGCGCAAUAGUGCAAUCUCAGCUCACUGCAACCUCCACCUCCGGGUUUCAAGCUAUUCUUCUCCCUUAGCCUCCCAAGUAGCUGGGAUUACGGGCGCCUGCCACCACACCCAGGUAAUUUUUGUAUUUUUAGUAGAGACGGGUUUUCACCAUGUUGGUCAGGCUGGUCUCGAACUCCUGACCUUCAGAUGAUCCACCCGCCUCUGCCUUCCAAAGUACUGGGAUUAACAGGCGUGAGCCUCCACACCCAGCAACUAUUGCAUUUUAUUUUACUGUAUGUAUGUAAUACCUUAACCACACACAAAAAAUUACCUUGUUCAAAUUUUCCAGAAUUAGAAUUCUACCAGUUCCCCAAAGUCUUGCUGUUUCUCCAUGCCCCUUAGCCCUUACCAGCUGCUAGAGCUGUCUUUUCAUCCUUUGCACCCUGGCACACUCCUACUCAUCCCUCAGAACCCAAAUGUCACCUCUUAUCUCUAAAAUGUUCCUUGACAUCCUUCUGCCAAAUACUAGCCCCUUCCUCUCUGUUUACAAUGCAGAUUCGGUCCUAGUGAAUUACUGUUAUUUUCUACUCUGCCUCACUCAUGAAGGCACAAGACUUGAUUUACAUACGCUGUCCUCUUCAGGCCCUGCCACAGGGCCACAGAAGGACCUCACACAUUUCAUGUCAAUUGAGGUCACUGGACUGACCUGGGAAUGAGGAGCCUGGGUUGUUACUCCACUUUUGCACAUAGAUGUGUGACCUUGAUUAUUUUCCACCACGUCCUGGCCUCGGUUUCCUUAUCUGUUAAAAGGGAAUGACACCACAGGCCUUGCAAAAUUGAAGGGAUUAUUUCUUUGAAGACCAACAGGCGAUAGGGGGCAGUAGUGUCCCAGGAUCCAGUUUCCCGCUUCAGGUUUCAAGAAACAGGAGCAGCUGCAGUGAUGAAGUUUUCCCGACUAUGACA
rnacentral:lncRNA from 1 species